GUUAAACCGUGUAAGCCAAAAUAGAAAAAGUCAAUUUUUUUGCAUCCCAAGUCUCUCGUACCUGUCAACUCCCACAGAUUAAAUUUCUCAUCUUGUCUGCUCCUAUAAAAGAAAAAGUGUGCCUUUGAAGAUUAACCAGACACGCUAAGUUAGCUUCCUAUUUCCUUAUCUAUCUAUUUUAUUAAACACCAGUCUUCCUUGGCUAUAUAAGUAACGGUCUUCAUCAAAUACUACAACAAAUCUCACCAUUCCAUUCCCAAAAACCAAAAGAUACACACAACCCAUACAUAAAUCUUAUCAUAAUUUUCAUCCUCUGUACCAAAAGAUGAACGGCAAUUCCUCCUACNNNN
rnacentral:lncRNA from 1 species